rnacentral:tRNA from 1 species
GCGCGAGUGGUGAAAUUGGUAGACACGUCAGCUUGAGGGGCUGGUGACCGCAAGGUUGUGCAGGUUCAACUCCUGUCUCGCGCA